rnacentral:tRNA from 2 species
ACGGCGGUAGCUCAAUUGGUAGAGCAUCGGUCUCCAAAACCGACGGUUGGGGGUUCGAGUCCCUCCCGCCGUGCCA